GGAGUCAGCUAGACAGUCACUUUGCGUUUUGGUGCAAGGAGGAAAGUCCGGGCUCCAUAGGGCAGAGCGCCAGAUAACAUCUGGGAGGUGAAAGCCUACGGAAAGUGCCGCAGAAACUAUACCGCUCUUCGUAGCUUUAGCGAAGAAGAGUAAGGGUGAAAUGGUGUGGUAAGAGCGCACCGCAUUGCUGGUAACAGUAGUGGCAGGGUAAACCCCGCUUGGAGCAAGACCAAAUAGAAGUUCAAUAGUAUUGCCCGUACUGAACUCGGGUAGGUCGCCUGAGUUACAUAGUGAUAUGUAACCUAGAUAGAUGACUGUCCACGACAGAACCCGGCUUAUCGGCUGACUUCUUUA
rnacentral:RNase_P_RNA from 2 species